rnacentral:lncRNA from 1 species
UCAAGAGGCGGGUUUAAGCAUUUGCAAAUUAUAUGUAUUCUCUUUAUGGUACAGUGCUCCCUCAACGGGAUAAAAAGUCUCAAUAACGGUUGAGAUUUGCUGAGAAAUUAAGAGAAACACGAUAGGAAUAAAAAGAACUUUGCAUCUUUUGAAAUUCUUUGGCCCAUCUAAAAUCGUGAAAGCCCCAUAUAAACACUUUUGAUUGCACAUAUGCAUUCAUGUAUCGAUAGGCUUAGAAGCUUUCAGACUUGUCUUAUUCGAAUAGAAUUUUUUUUCAGACUCAUGUCCAAAGGCAAAAGUAGUGAAUAGCCUUUAAUCAAACAAACCGAGGAACUUUCUUACUGAGUGAGAAAAGAAUGUCCUACAGUUGGUUUGCUUGGGAUUAAAUCCAAGUACUUCCAGAGCUCAGCUGCCAUUAGAAUAAUUAUCAAUUUUGCGCCAUCGUCAGACAAAUAGUAGUUCUAAUGUUUCGUUGAAGAUAGGGAAAUGGAAGGAGAAAGCAAACAUACAACGUGGAGUAUUCCGUGUCUGAUCUAGGUACACCAAUCCUUAAUUAUGAAAGUCUUCAAUCUAACCGUAGAAGACCUUCAAAGAGAUCAAGCUAGCCGUUUGAGGGUAGGCGGAGUCGUAUGUCAAAAUUGGGACUACUUAUAUGACUGCUUCUUUUGACUUUCACAGGUUUCUAAAAAUGGUGUCUACUGUAGUUCUCACUUUACUAAAGCUAAAACUUGUU